rnacentral:rRNA from 1 species
UACAGAGGUCCCAAGCGUUGUUCGGAUUCACUGGGCGUAAAGGGUGCGUAGGUGGCCGGUUAAGUCUGACGUGAAAUCUCCGAGCCUAACUCGGAAACUGCAUCGGAAACUAUCCGGCUCGAGGGUUGGAGGGGGGACUGGAAUACUUGGUGUAGCAGUGAAAUGCGUAGAUAUCAAGUGGAACACCAGUGGCGAAGGCGAGUCCCUGGACAACUCCUGACACUGAGGCACGAAAGCUAGGGGGAGCAAAACAGG